CGUUCUCGCAGCCGGGCUGCUGCGUGUUGCAGCUGAAGUCGGACUGCUCGUCGCCCCAGACCUCCUCGGCAGCCGCCCCAAGCACAAGAAUGCGGAAGAUGAACAGCACGGUCUUGCGCAGAAGGCUAGUUUUUCGUGGCUUGAAGCACUCGGAGAUGGGAUCCGGUGAAGCGCAGCAGCCGCCCGUCCCCAGCCAUCGCGACUGUCACAUCGCAUGACCAUGCAUGCAUGAUUGAAUCACAAGAGUCAUCAGUCUGCAAGAGCACAUGCCACGCCCAUGCCCACCACCAAAAAGAGAUCACCCAGGUCUGCUCUACUCCAAGCAGCGAGAGGUUCAAAAGUGUUUUAUUUUCUGUGUUCUUGGACUGCUGUAUUUAUUGUUAUGGAGUACUGGGUUAUAAAAUAUUAUAGCUAUUAAUCUGCCGGUUUAUUUGUCUGCUGUAUGAUGAAUAAUCAGAAUGUAUUCUGAAUAAUCGAUUGAUGCGUCUUAAUCGAAAGUGUUGUUAAACUGCAUUACGCAUGGAUAUUAAUUUAUAAACGUGCAUCUUACUGAACCUCUAUCCGUCGCAGGGACACAAGAAGAUGUAAAACUAAGAAUGAAAGCAAGAAAUACUAAUAAAGGAAUCCAGAGAG